rnacentral:ncRNA from 1 species
CACGAAAUUCGUGGUCAUUUGGCCGGCCGGCUUGCAGCCACGUAAAACAACUCGCUAAAAGGGCCGUGCGCAUUCUCCC